rnacentral:tRNA from 1 species
GCGGGUGUGAUUCAAUGGUAGAAUGUCAGCCUUCCAAGCUGAAAGCGAGGGUUCGAUUCCCUUCACCCGCU